rnacentral:rRNA from 1 species
UUUGUAUAUGUAUGAGUUAUGAUGCGAGUUACUCNUUGUAGUAUUGCUUGUACGUACUUAUACAUUUAUUUGCAAGGUGUUGUCGGCGUGCACUUCUCCCCUAGUAGGACGUCGCGACCCGUUGGGUGUUGGUCUACGACCCGAGUNGGGAGACUUNUAAUAUUUUNAUAAUAUUAAAAACCCUUGGUGUUUU